rnacentral:rRNA from 1 species
CGCGUAGGUGGCCUGAUAAGGGUGUGGUGAAAGUCCGGGGCUCAACCCCGGAUCUGCCGUGCCGACUGUCAGGCUAGAGUGCUGUAGGGGCAGGCGGAAUUCCGGGUGUAGCGGUGGAAUGCGUAGAGAUCCGGAGGAAGACCGGUGGCGAAGGCGGCCUGCUGGGCAGAUACUGACACUGAGGCGCGACAGCGUGGGGAGCAAACA